rnacentral:sRNA from 1 species
AGUAGCUUUUAAAGCUGGGCCUUAGUGGGACUCUAAAUGCAAUGAAAGCAGUCUGUGUUGAGAGAUUGAAAUGCAUUUCAAAGCCAGGCCUGACUCGGGGUACAAGGAAGAACAGACCUAUGUGCAUUUUGUAGGAAGAAAACUGUGAAUGGAAAAAGGAGAAGGGGAGAGAAACAGGGGGGAAAUCUGGAUAAUACAUUAAAGUAACCAUAAUUUUGGAGAUGCAUUCAUCUUAUUGAAAAUAUGUACGUAACCAGUGAUACCGAAGUCGGAUAUUUGCUCAAUCAGGAUGCUCAACAAUUUGAGCCUUUAAAGUUUGGAGCUGCAUGGGUUUGUGGAGAAAGUCGGCUCGUGAUAUUUCCUCAUGGUUGUGAUUCCUCUUCACUCUUUUGAAUUUGGAAGGAUGGCAUACACAUCUGAAAAAUACCACUACUUCCUUCAUUGGACGGCAAGGUAUUUCUGUUUGGAAAAGUAAUGGAGUCCAGUCAACUUCAUUGAUCUCCAAGGACUGUCAAAAUUAUAAAACUUGCUGUGGAGCUCUGACAUGCCAGAAGCCGCUAGA